AAGAGGAUUGUCGCCUAGGUUG
rnacentral:misc_RNA from 1 species